AAAACAAGAUAACCAUUGUUUUAUCAAUUCCACUGAAUUAACACUUUGUUUAAAUCAAACAUACUGAGCCUUAAAUAUACUUCUCCAAAGUUCCUGCCCUUUACACCCCACCACUGUUCUCUUCCUCCUAGAUGGUAAUAGUAUUUAUAAAGAUAAAUAUGAUGAUUUCAUCAUUAUACUUUCAUCCUAUUGUAUGAGUAUUCAAUUUGUACUUCUAACAUACAUCUUAUAAUAGACAUAUUUUUCGUUUUGGUUAACAUUAAAAGUUUUGUCUUGGUUCAGAAAUCUUUGUGUUGUAGUUGGUGUUUAUAUUUAGUUUCAUAAAUUUACCAAGACAAAUUUAAAUGUUUUGUUAACAUUUAAUUUUGAUCAAGUAAAUAUAUUUUAAUGUUUAUAUUGAUAAGCACACAGAAACUGUGUAUAGCAAUGCUAUGCAUAGUCCCUUGUAAAGUAUAGUCUGACAUCAUCCCUGACUUCCCAACAAAGAAUUUUCAGUAACCAUAUAAGCUUUCUGUCCAUAUAUCUGACUAAACAUUUACUUGUGUGGGAAAGAAACUAAAUAGCAAUGUUUUCUCUUAUGGUAUAUCCUGUGAUGGAAAUCGAUUGAAUUAGAAUAUUCAGUGCCAAAGCUUGCAAUUCUAUGAACAUGGCUGUUUUAAAAAUGUAUGUUUUGAUCAAGAUUUUAAUAACUGAAAUUUGAAGAAUGCAUUCAUAUUCAUAUUAAUUUAUAUUAUAAAAUUAUUUAGUAUUGUUUUGUAAAGAAAUGCUAGGAAAUUUGAGUUACAAAAAUACAUAUGUUUUUGUUACUAUCCAUUUAUGAUUUUUGAAAUGAUUAUUUACCUCUCCUUUUUCAUUUUUGUUUUGAACUCUAGAUGAUAUUUUUUGCAUUGUGUACCAUCUUUCAUAGAAUCAAUUUCUCCUUGCCUUCAGGCUUCAGUUCUGAAGUUGGGGUCUAGAAUUUGGAAGAACAUCAAAGAGCUAUAUUUGUUGCCAAUCAGAUGAAUGUGUUUUCAAAACAAGAAUAACAAAUGCUUUUUCCCCCUCUUUGCUCCCCUUUCUGCAGUAGCCUGAAAGUGUUAAAGACUGAAAGGUUUAGAAAGCUGCAGCGAUUGUGUUAAGACUGUUAAUGAAGCUUCUGAAUCUAAGGACAAAAUUAGUUCUCACACCCACACUGCACAACGUGUCUGAUAGAAUUGCAUCAUGACUUUUACCUGGGGACAUGAGUAUUAUAUUCAGCUGAAAUGAUGGAAUUGGGAAGACAGAUGUGCCCAAAGGACAUUUUAAGAAGCUUGUACCUACAUAAAUUGCUUGUGAAAAAUCUCUAAAAUUUGAAUAAGAAACCAGUGUAAAAAUGCUUUCUGCCUGUAAACUUAAAGUUGUACAGUGUAUAUUACCUAGUAUUUCCUAUAAGGAUAGAAAAUUAUGUGGUUUCCCCUUACUAUCAUAAGCCUAUAAUCAUUAUGAACUGUGUUUUUUCUCAUGAAAAGUUAAGUGAAGAAAUUGAUAAGUAUAAGAAGUUAAAUGAGAAAGAGAUGAUCCUUUGCCCAUUUUUUAAAAGUUCUGAUAUGCUUUAAAAAAAAUCUUCCAUAAGAAUGAUAAUGGCUUUUAAACUAAUUUAUGAGGUAGGACCAAUGGAUCACCAAAAUAAAAGUCAAAUAAAAAUAUACAGUGUUUACUUUGAAAUAUCAAAUUAUCAGAGAAAAAAAUUACUGGACUUUGAUUCCAUUGUUUAAAGAAUCCAAGUCCUGUUACAGAUUUUAAAGUAUCUGCUAUAAGAUCAAGCUAGAAUUACUUAGAUGUUUUCAAUUUGUAAUAAAAGAUAAAGUACUUGUUUUUAUUUUUAAAUAAGCUAGCCUAGUUAUCAUGAACAGAACUGUGCAAGUUUCUAAAUAAAAAAAAAGGUGUUUGUAUAUCUCUAACAUUAUUCACACAUUUACAUACUAGAACUACAAAAAAAAAAUAUAUAUAUAUAUAUAUAUAAUAUUUUUAUAUAUAUAUAUAUAUAUAUUCAUAAAUGUAUAAUAGCCAUAGGAUAUGAAAUGGGAAUAUGGAGAAAUUGGCUGCAUUGUUAUUUCAAUGCCUCUUUUAUUUUCAGGAUAUAGCUAACAGUGAUGCUUCUCACAUACCUCACCUGUCCAAUUCUCACAUAAAGUUGAAAAUAGCUUCGUUCAAUCUAGGAGGUCUAACUCUCACCCAUCCUUAUUACUUUUCUCCUCAGUUUAGACUCCAUUGUCUAAGUGAUUAAUAAAUAAAAUGAUUUUUUUUUACUAAAUACCUGAGUUGAAGAACUAGGGAAACAAAAUCUUAGCAGUUAGGAACUAAUAGAAGACAUGGGUAAUGGUGAGAUAAAAUUGUGGAUGGCUAUUUAAUCAACAAAUAUGUUUUGAUCCCUCCUAUUUGUAAAGACUUUAAUGGCAUGCUUCAGUUUUUCCUUUAUAAAACCCUCCUUGAUUAUAAUGUUAGUUUUUAUAUCAGAACUUUUCCAUUCCCAUUUAUUAUAAAAAAGAAAUUCCUUUUGUCUUGUAUUUUUCUAAAAAAAAGGGGGAAAUAUCAAAACUAGAUUUUUUCCAGCAAAAAAUUAAAUAGGACACAGUUUGUUCCUUUUUCUUUGGCACAUUGCACCCAACAAACAGGUGACCUUUUGUCCAUAAUCAAGUAUUUUUUUCUGAUCUAGGAAAGUACUGAUGCUCACGAAUACCUUGGCCACCAUAUACCACCACAUGCAAAUGGCUGUUGUCAUUGAAGAUAAAAGGAAGAAGUACAUUUGGAAAGGAUAAUAAAGCUGUUGAAUCACUUCAAAUCUUUCCUUUGGUAUGACAAAGAGAGACAGACGGGCAUACAUAAAGACAGUGGAACAAAGAUAGAGACAGACCAACAGAUGGAGAGGGAUAUCAAUUUCCAGUGACAACAGCAAUACAUCAGACAAGACUUUAUUUCCCUAAACCUCAUCUUCAUCAACUUACAAACAAAACAAAGGCUGAUUAUUCAACAUGUUUCUGGACAUGACUGCAUAUAUUCAUUGAGAAAUGUCUGCUUCUUGUCAUAGAUGAAGAAUAUAAAUGUAUUUGCUGAAGUUGAAAACUGACUGAUACUUCAUAGACCCUAGCAAGUUUUCAUGAUAUACAAAGUAUGAUGUGAAAGUUUCCUCUCUGCAGGCAGUCUCCAUCACUAUAUGAUUUCAGAAACUGCUGGUAAUUAUCUCCUGAUGUCAGUUUGAUUCAAGGAAAUAGUCUUGACAAGGUAGAAGGUACAACAUUGGUAAGCAGGCAUAUGGCCAGUUUACUUAUUCCAAAUUCAAAAUGCUAUAUACAUUUACAUGUAAAUAUUUUUUUUCAGAUUUAAGCUAGCCCUUAGAAAUGUAGCACACUGUUGUACUAGUAAAACAUUUCUUUCAUUUUCUGUUUUGUAUCUUUUUAUAAUUUUUUCAUUGUCCUUUUGUAUUUAAGUAUAUUUAUUUUUAAUUUAUAAUAUGUUCUAAGAUUUCAUCACAUUGAUUAGUAUAUUUCAGGUGCUUCUUAUCAUGGCCCAUAUCUCUUAAGGAUGUGUAUUAAAAAUGAAAAUGAAAAAUGCCAUUGCAAUAAUGAUUUAUUCCUGUUGUAUUAGUCUUCUAUUCUAUUAGCUGGAGCUGUAACAGUGUUUUGGAUGCUUCCUGCAUAUAGGGACUUUUUACUGAAAUUAAAAAAAAAUUAUACUACUGCCAUUUUUAAAAGAAAAUAUUUUUCUUAAUCAUUCUUACUUAUCCUUCAUUAAUUGUAUUAAGAAAGCAACUAAUUAGUUUUAUAUUGUCCACAGAAUACUUAUGCUUUAUUUCAGUAAGUUUAAUUAGAGCACGUACUUGAAAUAUAUAUUGAUUAACAUUUAUUUUUUUCUAAUUAAUUCUUAUUUUAAGCUUUCUUCUCUGCCUUUAGUAUAUCAUGCUAUGCUCAAGAAAAUCAGGAAAACAAUAUGAUUUAACCCCAUUAAUUUUCCAUGAAUUGGGCUUAUGAAUCUCAGACUCUUUUUUUAAAAAUAUGGGCUGUGCUACAUAAAAGCCUUUGAUCAGUCAGAACAUAAAUAAGGAAUGUUGUUUUUCAGAAUUAAGUGGAAAUGAAGCCUAAGGGGGCACAUUACAGAAUAAUAAGUACUAAAUAAAAUAUAAACUUCUUAUACUUUCAGAUCUCUUAAUACAAGUAUAUAUUAUAUAUUUUAAACCAGAUGAAUUGACAGUGUUGGUACU